CGAUUGGUCGUUCUGGGCGGGGAGGCGGGGUAGGGUGAGACGGCAGUGGGAGGCGGCAGUCCUCAUAGCGGCCGCCGCGCGGUCUCCAGAAGGUUCGGUGCUCGGUGCCUCAGCCGCCGCGAUGAUGGGUCCGCGCCCCGUCCUGGUGCUCAGUCAGAAUAUGAAACGUGAGUCUGGAAGGAAAGUCCAGACUGGAAACAUCACUGCUGCUAAGACUAUUGCUGACAUUAUCCGAACAUGCUUGGGACCGAGAGCUAUGAUGAAGAUGCUUUUGGACCCCAUGGGUGGGAUUGUGAUGACCAAUGAUGGCAACGCCAUUCUUAGAGAAAUUCAAGUCCAGCAUCCCGCUGCAAAAUCAAUGAUUGAGAUCAGCCGCACUCAGGAUGAAGAAGUCGGAGACGGGACCACAUCCGUAAUUAUCCUUGCUGGGGAGAUGCUUGCCGUUGCCGAACACUUCCUUGAGCAGCAGAUGCACCCGACUGUGAUUAUUGGCGCGUAUCGUAAGGCUCUGGACGACAUGAUCAGCAUUCUAAAGAAAAUCGGCACUCCAGUGGACGUGAACAACAAAGAGAUGAUGCUUAAAAUAAUCAAGAGCGCUAUAAACACCAAGGCAAUAAACCGCUGGUCUGACUUGGCCUGCAGCAUCGCUCUCGAUGCCGUUAAGACUGUGGAGUUCGAAGAAAACGGCAGAAAGGAAAUCGAUAUUAAAAAAUACGCCAAAGUAGAAAAGAUUCCCGGCGGCUUUAGCGAAGACUCGUGUGUUUUGCGUGGAAUCAUGGUGAAUAAAGACGUAACUCACCCCCGCAUGCGUCGCCUUAUUAAGAAUCCGCGCAUCGUCCUUCUGGAUUGUUCGCUGGAGUACAAGAAAGGAGAGAGCCAGACUGAUAUUGAAAUAACGCGGGAGGAAGACUUUGCCCGCAUCCUGCAGAUGGAGGAGGAGUACAUCCAGCAGAUGUGCGAGGACCUGGUGAGAGUCAAGCCAGACCUGGUCAUCACGGAAAAAGGCAUUUCUGACUUGGCCCAGCACUACCUGAUGAAAGCCAACAUCACGGCGAUCCGCAGGGUGAGAAAGACGGACAACAACAGGAUCGCCAGGGCCUGCGGAGCUCGCAUCGUGAGCCGCACGGACGAGCUGCGGGAGGAGGAUGUGGGAACCGGAGCCAGGCUCUUCGAGGUUAAAAAAAUAGGAGAUGAGUAUUUUGCCUUCAUCACCGAUUGCAAAGACCCCAAGGCUUGUACGAUCAUCCUGCGGGGAGCCAGCAAGGAGAUCCUGGCGGAGGUGGAACGGAACCUGCAGGACGCCAUGCAGGUUUGCCGCAACGUCCUCCUCGACCCGCAGCUGGUGCCGGGCGGCGGAGCCACCGAAAUGGCUGUUUCCCAAGCGCUGACCGAGAAGUCCAAGGGCAUGACGGGGGUGGAGCAGUGGCCAUACCGCGCCGUGGCCCAGGCGCUUGAGGUCAUUCCCCGAACGUUGAUCCAGAACUGCGGCGCGAGCACCAUCCGGGUGCUGACAUCGCUCAGGGCAAAACACACUCAAGAGGGCAGCCAGAGCUGGGGGGUGAACGGUGAGACCGGAGCCUUGGUCGAUAUGAAGGACCUGGGGAUCUGGGAGCCUUUGGCUGUCAAGUUGCAGACGUACAAAACCGCGGUGGAGGUGAGUGGAGGGGAAGCAUUGCUGCUGAGAUAAUUAAUGAAAUAGAACAAGGGCAAGUGUAGAGUCUUGAAUGUGGGCAGAACAAGCCCAGGUUCCAGUGUAAGUUGGGAAUGAGCUGUUGGAGCAGUGAAAAGGGAGCUGGGGGUCCUGGGGACAGCAGGGUGACCAUGAAAGAGUUUUAGUUCAAAUACUAUCAGAAUAUACUUGGAGAACAUGUAUAUAUACAUACAUGUAAUAUAUACAGCCAUAGAAGCCUGAGAAUGCCUGAUCUCAUCUGAUCCGGGAAGCUAAGCAGGGUCGGGCCUGGUCAGUACUUGGAUGGGAGACCAGCUGGGAACAGCGGGUGCUGUGGGCUUAGCCAGCACUGGGCCCUAGUGGCCAGGAAGCCAAUGGGACCUGGGGUGGGUUAGAAGGGGGUGGUCAGUAGGUCAGAGAGGUUCUCCUGCCCCUCUGCUCUGCCCUGGGGAGACCACACCUGGAAUAUUGUGUCCAGCUGUGGCCCCUCAGCUCCAGCAGGACAGGGAACUGCUGGAGAGAGUCCAGCGCAGCCACCAAGAUGCUGGAGGGAGUGGAGCAUCUCCCGUGUGAGGAAAGGCUGAGGGAGCUGGGGCUCUGGAGCUGGACAAGAGGAGCCUGAGGGGGGACUCAUUGCUGGGGAUCAAGAUGGAAAGGGGCAGUGUCAGGAGGAUGGAGCCAGGCUCUUCUGGUGACAACCAGGGACAGGACAAGGGGCAAUGGGUGCAAAGUGCAACACAGGAGGUUCCGCUGGAAGAUGAGAAGCAACUUGUUGGGGUGAGGGUGGCAGAGCCUGGCCCAGGCUGCCCAGGGGGUUGUGGAGUCUCCUUCUGUGCAGACAUUCCAACCCGCCUGGACACCUUCCUGUGUAACCUCAUCUGGGUGUUCCUGCUCCGGGGGGAUUGCACUGCAUGAGCUUUCCAGGGCCCUCCAACCCCUCACAUUCUGGGAUUGUCCUUCUGCCAUUUGGGUGGCAUUGCACACCCAGGAGCUGUGAUGACAAGGGACAUAGUGCCCAUGGGAGCCCAUAAUGCGCCUUUCAGAGGCGUUGAUUCCUUUUGAUGCCCUGGUUCAAAUUUGGCACAUUGUGCCCUACGUGCCUGUGUGAACUGGUGCAGUUACGAGGCUGUUCCGCUCCACGUGGUGUUUGGACCUGGGACCAGUUAGUGUUGGUGGGAGCUUCUCCCAUUUCAUGUCCAACCUCCCUUGUGUCAUCCGCCCUCAUUAAAACAUGACAUUUUGAGCCUUUGCUUGGUGGUGGUGGAUCAAAGGGACAGUGGGUCCCUUUCUUUCAGCUAGAAAUAAUGGGGGUCACCCUUGAGCGCAGGAUGGGCACGGUGUCCUUUGCACUGCGGUGCUGAGCCCAUCGUUCCACCAUAGGCCAUGGGGGUUUUGGCGCCAAAGGCAGGUGGUUUGGAUUUUAUUCCUAACUGGUCCCAUGUGGGUUUUUCUCCACAGACGGCUGUUCUCCUCCUCCGCAUUGAUGACAUUGUUUCGGGACACAAGAAGAAGGGUGAGGACCAGAGCAAGCAGCCCCCAGCCCCAGAGCCAGCCCAGGAAUAGGGGUGAAGAACGGGGAGGAACGUCGGGUGGAGCAACCCCGGCUGGGGAGAGGGCUGAUGUAUCACUGCCCCUGCUCGGGGAGGAGGGAGCGAGGCUUAAUUUAAAUUCAUAGUCUAUAACUUCUCAAUCCUCUUGAAAUAAAACGUGUUGAAGCGGG